rnacentral:rRNA from 1 species
UGGGGAAUUUUGGACAAUGGGGGAAACCCUGAUCCAGCCAUCCCGCGUGUGCGAUGAAGGCCUUCGGGUUGUAAAGCACUUUGGCAGGAAAGAAACGUCAUGGGUUAAUACCCCGUGAAACUGACGGUACCUGCAGAAUAAGCACCGGCUAACUACGUGCCAGCAGCCGCGGUAAUACGUAGGGUGCAAGCGUUAAUCGGAAUUACUGGGCGUAAAGCGUGCGCAGGCGGUUCGGAAAGAAAGAUGUGAAAUCCCAGAGCUCAACUUUGGAACUGCAUUUUUAACUACCGGGCUAGAGUGGGUCAGAGGGAGGUGGAAUUCCGCGUGUAGCAGUGAAAUGCGUAGAUAUGCGGAGGAACACCGAUGGCGAAGGCAGCCUCCUGGGAUAACACUGACGAUCAUGCACGAAAGCGUGGGGAGCAAACAGG